rnacentral:rRNA from 1 species
ACUCAAAGGAAUUGACGGGGGCCCGCACAAGCGGUGGAUUAUGUGGUUUAAUUCGAAGCAACGCGCAGAACCUUACCUAGGCUUGACAUCCCACGACAACCGUAGAAAUACGGCUUUGUAGCAAUACACGUGGAGACAGGUGCUGCAUGGCUGUCGUCAGCUCGUGUUGUGAAAUGUUGGGUUAAGUCCCGCAACGAGCGCAACCCCUGGAUUUAGUUGCCAGCAUUAAGUUGGGCACUCUAAAUUAACUGCCAGCGUUAAGCUGGAGGAAGGUGGGGAUGACGUCAAGUCCUCAUGGCCCUUACGCCUAGGGCUACACACGUAAUACAAUGGAUAGGACAAAGGGUCGCGAACUCGCAAGAGGGAGCUAAUCUCAAAAACCUAUCCUCAGUUCGGAUUGGAGGCUGCAAUUCGCCUCCAUGAAGGCGGAAUCGCUAGUAAUCGUGGAUCAGAACGCCACGGUGAAUACGUUCCCGGGCCUUGUACACACCGCCCGU